GUUACAUUCGAUGGAGUGGAAAGACAGGAAGAAGGUGUUUCUUCAGUAUAUCUGUUAUUAGGAAAAGUUUGUGCUGGUGAAAGUCCUUUAUCUCUAUACAGGACUGAAAAUGAGACGAUGCACAUCUCAGGAAGAUCACUGGCAACAAGGAUGGAGUAUGAGCCAGGAUAUGCCUUCUACUUCCCCAGUUAAGAUGGCCACAUCUGUUAGUCACUGGCAGUAGCAGACUUCUCAGCUUUCAGAUAUGAAGCAGACAUCACUUAGAAGACUGCCACCACAUGGAAAAUGUAUCUUAAGACAAGGAAAGUUUUGUGGUUGUUGCAAGUGAGAACUGGUAGAGCAAAAUUUGCUUACUGACAAUCAACUUAAUUUCUGAAAGGAAACAACAUGGGAGCUCCAUGAUGUGGGAACAACACUACACAAUAAAUAAUUGCACGUUAUUCUGAUGAACUCA
rnacentral:lncRNA from 1 species